UACGGAGGGUGCAAGCGUUAUCCGGAUUCACUGGGUUUAAAGGGUGCGUAGGUGGGCAAGUAAGUCAGUGGUGAAAUCUCCGGGCUUAACCCGGAAACUGCCAUUGAUACUACUUGUCUUGAAUACUGUGGAGGUCAGCGGAAUAUGUCAUGUAGCGGUGAAAUGCUUAGAUAUGACAUAGAACACCAAUUGCGAGGCAGCUGGCUACACAAAUAUUGACACUGAGGCACGAAAAGCGUGGGGAUCAAACAG
rnacentral:rRNA from 1 species